ensembl:lncRNA LYRM4-AS1 LYRM4 antisense RNA 1
AGAUAUAGAGUGUGAGAGAGAAGAGUGGAGGCUGGUUCUCAGGCUCCAGAAGCAUAAGCCUGCAUGGAGCAUAGCGUCACUGAGCAAGACAGGUGUGGAGGAUGAGAAGCGGGCCACAGGAUGGGAAGGGAAUCUGUGUGGAGGCGGUGCCCUAAACAUGCUGCCUUGAGGAGGGACCUCUACAUGGGGUGGCCGGGCACAGCCAGAUGUCCCUGGAGACAGCGCCAUCUGGUGGAACUUCCUGUAACGAUCGAGAUGUUCCGUCUGUGCCGUCCAACAUGGGAGCCAUGCAGGACACAUGGUGACUGAGCACUGGGACUGUGUGCCGCGUGACCAAGAGCAGCUCAGCUCUAAAGUCUCCUCCAGCUUUAUGAUGUCACUUCCUGUAUCUUCUCUACACAUUCUUUCCUUCAGCCUGUUGUUUCUUCAACUUCGAGAAUAAUUUGAAUGUUUUCAGCAUAAAGAAAAGAUAAAUGUUUAAGGCUACCCAUGGGGACCUCAACAGCUUUGCCAUUGCACACUAUCUUUGCAGACAAGAUCUUAAUCACAUCCAACUUUCUGCAGUUGCACAGGGUACCUCAGACCCACAUCCCAGAUGACAUUCCUCAGAAGCUCGCAGCUGGAGAUGACAUCACCUUAGACAACAUCACCCUAGCCCAAGACAUCGCUAUUAGAGAUACAUCACCUGGACACUAAAGCCUCCAACCCAGUGACACUCUCAAGGUGCUGACAAAAUGGACAUGGACAUUUGUUGCUUUUCUUCUUUUGAAUUAGGAACUCUAUUGUGUUUCCUGAAUUUACUGUCUGCUUGGCCCAUGAUCCUGGUAUGUUCCUUGCUCUCUGCCAAAACAUGCACCGUCCCCUCCACACCUAAAGGAAAACCUGGUAGAAGCUACUACUCUCAAUGCCAUUCUAAAAUUGACGAAGAGUAUUAUUUUCCCCAAGAGGCAGCUGCUGCAGGCCAGUGAAUCCUCUGGACCCUGGGGAGAGGGUCAUACACUCCCUAGUGACUUCUACUGUAUGCUCCAGCUUUCCACCAGGACCUCCUGCCCUGUCCCCAACUGUAACGACCACAACCACCCCAUCCCCUUGGUUACACACAAAUAUCACCAGUCUUUACAUGUACUUUACUGACUUCUCAGAUAAUACCCUCCAACAAGAUAACUGCAGGACUUGCCACCAUGACCUGAGAAAUACACCAAGAUAUUAUUGUCCAAUUUUUUUGAGAUAUAUAUAUAUUUCUCAUACUUUUAACAUACUCUGCAAUCCACCAAGAUAUUGGUAGAGACCCUGGAAAUUUCAAAUCUAUUUCGUCUGCUAAUGCCAUGUGAAUGGGAAACUUAGAUACAGGCUGGCCUACAAGGACUCCUUAUACUUCAAUUUUUGUUCCUCCUUUCAACUCUCAUAAAAAAUAUUUUCUGUACUAUUUAGGGCAAAUGAUGGCCUUCUUUCUA